UCCCAACGAUGGAUAUCUUGGCUCUUGCAUCGAUGACGAACGCAGCAAAUCGCGAAAGGUAGUGUGACAUGCGACAUAUCGUGAAUCAUCAACUCUUCGAACGCAAUCGGCGUGUACUUC
rnacentral:rRNA from 14 species